rnacentral:rRNA from 1 species
GUGCCAGCAGCCGCGGUAAUACAGAGGGUGCAAGCGUUGUUCGGAAUUACUGGGCGUAAAGCGCGUGUAGGCGGCUUGAUCAGUCAGACGUGAAAUCCCUCGGCUUAACCGAGGAACUGCGUCUGAUACUGUCAGGCUUGAGUGUCGGAGGGGAUGGCGGAAUUCCUGGUGUAGAGGUGAAAUUCGUAGAUAUCAGGAGGAACAUCAGUGGCGAAGGCGGCCAUCUGGAAGACAACUGACGCUGAGACGCGAAAGCGUGGGUAGCAAACAGGAUUAGAUACCCUGGUAGUCCACGCUGUAAACGAUGAGUGCUAGGUGUUGUGGGUAUUGACCCCCGCAGUGCCAAAGCUAACGCGUUAAGCACUCCGCCUGGGGAGUACGGUCGCAAGAUUAAAACUCAAAGGAAUUGACGG